UGAUCCUGGCUCAGGAUGAACGCUGGCGGCGUGCCUAAUACAUGCAAGUCGAACGCUUCACAUCGGUGAAGAGUGGCGAACGGGUGAGUAAUACAUAAGUAACCUGGCAUCUACAGGGGGAUAACUGAUGGAAACGUCAGCUAAGACCGCAUAGGUGUAGAGAUCGCAUGAACUCUAUAUGAAAAGUGCUACGGGACUGGUAGAUGAUGGACUUAUGGCGCAUUAGCUUGUUGGUAGGGUAACGGCCUACCAAGGCGACGAUGCGUAGCCGACCUGAGAGGGUGACCGGCCACACUGGGACUGAGACACGGCCCAGACUCCUACGGGAGGCAGCAGUAGGGAAUUUUCGGCAAUGGGGGAAACCCUGACCGAGCAACGCCGCGUGAAGGAAGAAGUAAUUCGUUAUGUAAACUUCUGUCAUAGAGGAAGAACGGUGGAUAUAGGGAAUGAUAUCCAAGUGACGGUACUCUAUAAGAAAGCCACGGCUAACUACGUGCCAGCAGCCGCGGUAAUACGUAGGUGGCGAGCGUUAUCCGGAAUUAUUGGGCGUAAAGAGGGAGCAGGCGGCACUAAGGGUCUGUGGUGAAAGAUCGAAGCUUAACUUCGGUAAGCCAUGGAAACCGUAGAGCUAGAGUGUGUGAGAGGAUCGUGGAAUUCCAUGUGUAGCGGUGAAAUGCGUAGAUAUAUGGAGGAACACCAGUGGCGAAGGCGACGAUCUGGCGCAUAACUGACGCUCAGUCCCGAAAGCGUGGGGAGCAAAUAGGAUUAGAUACCCUAGUAGUCCACGCCGUAAACGAUGAGUACUAAGUGUUGGGUGUCAAAGCUCAGUGCUGCAGUUAACGCAAUAAGUACUCCGCCUGAGUAGUACGUUCGCAAGAAUGAAACUCAAAGGAAUUGACGGGGGCCCGCACAAGCGGUGGAGCAUGUGGUUUAA
rnacentral:rRNA from 1 species